AAAGCGUGCGCAGGCGGUUGUGCAAGACCGAUGUGAAAUCCCCGGGCUUAACCUGGGAAUGGCAUUGGUGACUGCACGGCUAGAGUGUGUCAGAGGGGGGUAGAAUUCCACGUGUAGCAGUGAAAUGCGUAGAGAUGUGGAGGAAUACCGAUGGCGAAGGCAGCCCCCUGGGAUAACACUGACGCUCAUGCACGAAAGCGUGGGGAGCAAACAGGAUUAGAUACCCCUGU
rnacentral:rRNA from 1 species